rnacentral:rRNA from 1 species
UACGUAGGGUCCGAGCGUUGUCCGGAAUUAUUGGGCGUAAAGGGCUCGUAGGCGGUCCGUCGCGUCGGGAGUGAAAACUCGGAGCUUAACUCCGAGCCUGCUUCCGAUACGGGCAGACUAGAGGUAGGCAGGGGAGAGCGGAACUCCUGGUGUAGCGGUGGAAUGCGCAGAUAUCAGGAGGAACACCAAUAGCGAAGGCAGCUCGCUGGGACGUUACUGACACUGAGGCGCGAAAGCGUGGGGAGCGAACAGG